rnacentral:rRNA from 1 species
GACGAACGCUGGCGGCGUGCUUAACACAUGCAAGUCGAACGGAAAGGCCCUGCUUUUGUGGGGUGCUCGAGUGGCGAACGGGUGAGUAACACGUGAGUAACCUGCCCUUGACUUUGGGAUAACUUCAGGAAACUGGGGCUAAUACCGGAUAGGAGCUCCUGCUGCAUGGUGGGGGUUGGAAAGUUUCGGCGGUUGGGGAUGAACUCGCGGCUUAUCAGCUUGUUGGUGGGGUAGUGGCUUACCAAGGCUUUGACGGGUAGCCGGCCUGAGAGGGUGACCGGCCACAUUGGGACUGAGAUACGGCCCAGACUCCUACGGGAGGCAGCAGAGGGGAAUAUUGCACAAUGGGCGGAAGCCUGAUGCAGCAACGCCGCGUGCGGGAUGACGGCCUUCGGGUUGUAAACCGCUUUCGCCUGUGACGAAGCGUGAGUGACGGUAAUGGGUAAAGAAGCACCGGCUAACUACGUG